UGGAUUAAAUUUCUGUGAACUUAUUGUUUUACCCUCUCCCCUUUGUGUUCCCAGGCCCAUAAUGAGGACCUUACAACCAGAGAGACCUGCAAGGCUGGGUUCUCUGAAGACGAUUACACGGCAUUAAUCUCCCAAAAUAUUCUAGAAGGGGAGAAGCUACUUCAAGGUUCAGCCCGUGGUUCCUGGGGAACGUUUUCCUCUCUAACCACAGCCCCAGCCCUUUGACCUCAGUCCCCACGGAUCUCAGAGGUGCCCCUUCUCCCGGACAUCUUCAUUUCUACCUGGGAAGGCCCCACCCCAGCAUCUCCUGCCAUCCAGGACUCUCCCGUCUGCCUGCCCCUCUCGGGCAGAACCCACCUCUCAGCCCCAGUGACCAUCGGCAGGUGAGCAGCAGCAGCCCACUCCUGAAAACAGCUUCAUUUGUAAAGAAAGUCGGUUGUUCCCAUCUUCCUUGAAAGACAUGGAUUUCUUAAACUCUGUCCUGUUUCUACUUUGAUAGAGACAUAGAGAUACAAAAGUGAGAAUGUCCCUUUUCUCUGGCAAGGACAGUAAGAAGUAGGUGACAGGCAGCACUUGUCCUCAGGCUGGGCCGAAGAGAGCACCAGGGCGGGGUGAGGACUGUGGCCAGGGGACAGCCGAGCACCAUCUCAGCAGUCAGGGGGCAGCUAAGCACCUCCUGAGCAGUCAGG
rnacentral:lncRNA from 1 species